GCCUCGAUAGCUCAGUUGGGAGAGCGUCAGACUGAAGAUCUGAAGGUCCCCGUUCGAUCCCGGGUCGCGGCA
rfam:Phytophthora infestans T30-4 supercont1.9 genomic scaffold, whole genome shotgun sequence.